ACUCCUACGGGAGGCAGCAGUGGGGAAUAUUGCACAAUGGGGGAAACCCCUGAUGCAGCCAUGCCGCGUGUGUGAAGAAGGCCUUCGGGUUGUAAAGCACUUUCAAUAGGGAGGAAGGUAGUGUAGUUAACACCUGCAUUAUUUGACGUUACCUACAGAAGAAGCACCGGCUAACUCCGUGCCAGCAGCCGCGGUAAUACGGAGGGUGCGAGCGUUAAUCGGAAUUACUGGGCGUAAAGCGCAUGCAGGCGGCCUGUUAAGUCAGAUGUGAAAGCCCGGGGCUUAACCUCGCAAUUGCAUUUGAAACUGGCAGGCUAGAGUCUUGUAGAGGGGGGUAGAAUUUCAGGUGUAGCGUGAAAUGCGUAGAGAUCUGAAGGAUACCGGUGGCGAAGGCGGCCCCCUGGACAGAUACUGACACUCAGAUGCGAAAGCGUGGGGAGCAAACAGGAUUAGAUACCCUG
rnacentral:rRNA from 1 species